rnacentral:rRNA from 1 species
UACGGAGGGUGCAAGCGUUAUCCGGAUUUACUGGGUUUAAAGGGUGCGUAGGUGGGUUUGUAAGUCAGUGGUGAAAUCUCCGAGCUUAACUCGGAAACUGCCAUUGAUACUAUAAGUCUUGAAUGUUCUGGAGGUGAGCGGAAUAUGUCAUGUAGCGGUGAAAUGCUUAGAUAUGACAUAGAACACCAGUGGCGAAGGCGGCUCACUGGACAAGUAUUGACGCUGAGGUGCGAAAGCGUGGGGAGCAAACAGG